rnacentral:rRNA from 1 species
UACGUAGGGUGCAAGCGUUAAUCGGAAUUACUGGGCGUAAAGCGUGCGCAGGCGGUUCGCUAAGACAGAUGUGAAAUCCCCGGGCUUAACCUGGGAACUGCAUUUGUGACUGGCGGGCUAGAGUGCGGCAGAGGAGACUGGAAUUCCUGGUGUAGCAGUGAAAUGCGUAGAUAUCAGGAGGAAUACCGAUGGCGAAGGCAGGUCUCUGGGCUGACACUGACGCUCAUGCACGAAAGCGUGGGGAGCAAACAGG